rnacentral:lncRNA from 1 species
CCACAUUGAACUACUAAUACCAAAUUUACAAAAUUGGAAUUUCUUCUAUUUCUUGAGCAUUCCUCCCUUCCAACUCUCUAAGGUUAUGAAUUCGAGUCACCAAGGGAGCGGAAAGGGAAGGAGCUCCCAGAGAAGAGAAGGAGAAAACAAAUACUACAUAUUUUGAUCCCCACAUUCAAAGAAGUUUGGUUUAGACAAACGAAUUCCAAAUUCAAUCAGUAAAAUGUAGACACAAAAGAAUAUUUGUUAAUCAUUUACAGUAAGGUGCACAUUCUACUCUCUAUAGUUCCAAGGUGCAUCAGCUU